CCAUUUUAUUGUCACAGGUGAUGGUGUGGACCAGGUGCCAGGUGAUAAGAAUCAACUGAAUUUGGCAAGCUCUUCUCAGAAGAGUCCCGCAGAUGAUCCUGUGCACCAGCGGCUCCAAUCUCCGAGUAAUGGGAUGUUACAGUCACCUCCAGAGGAGAGUCCAGACUGAUAUGCUGAUGUGGUGGAGGUGCGACCAAUCAUGCUGAUGAAGACAACAUCCAUGGAAUCGAUGAAGGACUAAGAUGGAAAAAAAAAAAUGGAUUAUUUUUUUAAAUUGCAGAGCAAAGCUCUUUGAGCUUUUAAGUUUACAUGUGCAUUAGAUAAACUUCACUUUUAUUUAAGCUGUUGUAUUUUUUCCAGCUAUUUAGCUUUAUCCUAAUAAAAUACCUAAAAAUA